GAUGAACGCUGGCGGCGUGCCUAAUACAUGCAAGUCGAGCGAACGGACGAGAAGCUUGCUUCUCUGAUGUUAGCGGCGGACGGGUGAGUAACACGUGGAUAACCUACCUAUAAGACUGGGAUAACUUCGGGAAACCGGAGCUAAUACCGGAUAAUAUUUUGAACCGCAUGGUUCAAAAGUGAAAGACGGUCUUGCUGUCACUUAUAGAUGGAUCCGCGCUGCAUUAGCUAGUUGGUAAGGUAACGGCUUACCAAGGCAACGAUGCAUAGCCGAGCUGAGAGGGUGAUCGGCCACACGGGAACUGAGACACGGUCCAGACUCCUACGGGAGGCAGCAGUAGGGAAUCUUCCGCAAUGGGCGAAAGCCUGACGGAGCAACGCCGCGUGAGUGAUGAAGGUCUUCGGAUCGUAAAACUCUGUUAUUAGGGAAGAACAUAUGUGUAAGUAACUGUGCACAUCUUGACGGUACCUAAUCAGAAAGCCACGGCUAACUACGUG
rnacentral:rRNA from 1 species